rnacentral:rRNA from 1 species
GAUGAACGCUGGCGGCGUGCCUAAUACAUGCAAGUCGAGCGAACGGACGAGAAGCUUGCUUCUCUGAUGUUAGCGGCGGACGGGUGAGUAACACGUGGAUAACCUACCUAUAAGACUGGGAUAACUUCGGGAAACCGGAGCUAAUACCGGAUAAUAUUUUGAACCGCAUGGUUCAAAAGUGAAAGACGGUCUUGCUGUCACUUAUAGAUGGAUCCGCGCUGCAUUAGCUAGUUGGUAAGGUAACGGCUUACCAAGGCAACGAUGCAUAGCCGACCUGAGAGGGUGAUCGGCCACACUGGAACUGAGACACGGUCCAGACUCCUACGGGAGGCAGCAGUAGGGAAUCUUCCGCAAUGGGCGAAAGCCUGACGGAGCAACGUCGCGUGAGUGAUGAAGGUCUUCGGAUCGUAAAACUCUGUUAUUAGGGAAGAACAUAUGUGUAAGUAACUGUGCACAUCUUGACGGUACCUAAUCAGAAAGCCACGGCUAACUACGUGCCAGCAGCCGCGGUAAUACGUAGGUGGCAAGCGUUAUCCGGAAUUAUUGGGCGUAAAGCGCGCGUAGGCGGUUUUUUAAGUCUGAUGUGAAAGCCCACGGCUCAACCGUGGAGGGUCAUUGGAAACUGGAAAACUUGAGUGCAGAAGAGGAAAGUGGAAUUCCAUGUGUAGCGGUGAAAUGCGCAGAGAUAUGGAGGAACACCAGUGGCGAAGGCGACUUUCUGGUCUGUAACUGACGCUGAUGUGCGAAAGCGUGGGGAUCAAACAGGAUUAGAUACCCUGGUAGUCCACGCCGUAAACGAUGAGUGCUAAGUGUUAGGGGGUUUCCGCCCCUUAGUGCUGCAGCUAACGCAUUAAGCACUCCGCCUGGGGAGUACGACCGCAAGGUUGAAACUCAAAGGAAUUGACGGGGACCCGCACAAGCGGUGGAGCAUGUGGUUUAAUUCGAAGCAACGCGAAGAACCUUACCAAAUCUUGACAUCCUUUGACAACUCUAGAGAUAGAGCUUUCCCCUUCGGGGGACAAAGUGACAGGUGGUGCAUGGUUGUCGUCAGCUCGUGUCGUGAGAUGUUGGGUUAAGUCCCGCAACGAGCGCAACCCUUAAGCUUAGUUGCCAUCAUUAAGUUGGGCACUCUAAGUUGACUGCCGGUGACAAACCGGAGGAAGGUGGGGAUGACGUCAAAUCAUCAUGCCCCUUAUGAUUUGGGCUACACACGUGCUACAAUGGACAAUACAAAGGGCAGCGAAACCGUGAGGUCAAGCAAAUCCCAUAAAGUUGUUCUCAGUUCGGAUUGUAGUCUGCAACUCGACUACAUGAAGCUGGAAUCGCUAGUAAUCGUAGAUCAGCAUGCUACGGUGAAUACGUUCCCGGGUCU